UUUCAUUUGCAAAGUCAAAACAAGUCUUGUGUCUUCUGAUGCAAGUCUAGCCAGUUCCUUGAGCUGAUCUGGAACACUUGGUCCAAAUAUCUGGCUACUAUCUUUUGACUUAAAUUAACCUCACCAGCUUCUUUCAUUUGAAUCUGUUAAAGUCUUUGAGCUUAAGAAUUAGAACAAGGCUAUGCCAUGCACUCAUGCAUGUCUCUCCUCCAUAGGUUCUUUACUCCGAUAGCUUCCGGAAACAAAUACAAGGUAAAGCUGCCUAUGUGCUAGAUACACCAGAGAUGAGGCGGGUUAGGGAAACCCAACGGCACAUCUCAACAGUGAAAUAUCAUGAAGACUUUGAGAAACACAAAGGCUGUUUCACACCGGUGGUGACAGACCCUAUCACUGAACGAGUAAAGAAAAACACACAGGACUUCAGUGACAUUAACUACCGAGGUAUUCAGAGAAA
rnacentral:lncRNA from 1 species